GUAGAUAUAAACCGUAGUGGUAGACCGAAAAAUAAUUUAUAUGCUAACAGAUAGUUUUACUAUAUUUUCAGUGUUUUGUGUAGACGAUGUUCGUGUGUAAAUGUGUUAUUAUUAACUGUCCUACUUUACAACUUGAAACCCUGAGGCACUUUGUGAAAUAAUUACUGUCCAUUCACAUGAACUAUUGUAUAGUCGAUGUAACCGAUAACAGUUCCUUCCCUAGCAAUUACAAGGCAGGAGAUGGUGCCACUGCAAACCGUGCGCGUGCAGGCUCUUUGCGUGGCUCGUGGGCUCGUUCUGCCAGUAACAGACUUGUGCUUUUUCUCAAGAUUCGUGAAUUGUCGCCCCAGGGAGAAACCCAAACUGUCGUAUUCGUCAUUGUGUUUUUAGCAAACUUUGUCCUGUUUUCCAGACGAACGAGCAGACAUUCACAAAAGAUCUUAACGUUUGUACAACGUUUUAAGCCGACAUAUUUAUUGUCACCAGCAUAUCAGAUAAACAAAAAUCCGAAGAAGAAGAAUAAAAUAGUCAUGGAUCAAGGGACGGCUAGAGUACACUAAUAAAGACCACCACCUGCGUAGAUAAAGUGUUAUACUUCCCAUUUAUGAUGAAGCCUACUGAAAUAACGAAACAGAGGUGUCGCUAGGAACGUGCCCCGAAUUGCCAGUUGGUGUCUUGAAUAAAUCAGAAUAGAAAAAUCAUGAUCGAAUUCAUAUUGAAACGCCAAAACUUCCUGCGCUUAUGGGCCCGAGUCCCGAAUCUUUUAAGCACCUAGCGACGACUCUGCCUACAAAACAUGUAUAUACUAUUAAUUCUUAAAUCAGUGGUAAUGCUUAUAAUGCUAAAACUUGAUGUUCUAUGUAGCAGAGAUCCUAUUGCACUUUAACUUAUUCUCUGAAAAUGAUAAUACUUAUAGGUAGGAACGUCACAAUGAUCGAUACUUUUAGUACUGUUUGUUUGUUUGUAAUUAAACACAAAGCUACACAAUGGGCUAUCUGUGCUCUGCUCAUCACGGGUAUCGAAAUCCGGAUUCUAGCGUUGUAAGUCCGCAGACCAACCGCUGUGCCACUGGAGGCUACUUUUAGUAGAUUUGAAAUAUGUUCAAGAAGAAAUUUUAAUAUGCUGUAGACAAAUAUUCAACUUAUUAAUAAUUUUAAAAGAAUUAUAAUAUUAAAUGCAUUGACCAUUAUUACACGCUAAAUAUCGCGUCGAUAACUUCUAGUAAUUCAAUCACUAAUAUAACAUUUUCUUUGCAAAGUUUACAGUACCAAUACAUUAUUUAGUAGUUGUUUAUACGUGGGAAGUAACAUGUAAUUUCAGAUAUGUGACUGAUUAUACGCUUUCAAAGCACGAGAAUGGCAAGUUAAUCCUGCUGUUAGUUCAAACUUUUGUCGAAUUAUAAGAACAACAUGUGGAUGACAUUCUGUAAAAUUCAUUGAAGUGCCUAUGGUUCCAGAAUUUUCGGACACUGUUAAAUUUUAAUUCAACAACACAUUGACCAACCCAGAAAAGCAAUUUUGUUUUUAUAAUCAAACCAAAAUUGUUGUCACCAUAAAUCAACAGGUAAAGACAAUUCUUUGUUAACAAAAUAUUGGUUCAUUCUUCUAAUAGCUUCGAAUACUGCCAUAUAUAAACUAAGUUGACUGGACUCAAAUUCUCAUUUUCCCAUCAGUUCCAAUUG
rnacentral:lncRNA from 1 species